rnacentral:lncRNA from 1 species
UAAUAGAAUCAGUUCUCUUUGAUUUGACUAUUCUAGAAAGUCGACAUGUGGAAAGAAAUUUUAGUGGUGUUAGUUAUUUCUUGUACAGUUGCCACCGCUUCUAAGGUAUGCAAUACGGUAUAUUUAUGAAAGUCUAAAAAUGCAUGGUAUCGAAAUUUAAAAAAAUGUGUAUAUGAAGCAUUUAAAAAUUUCGAUACAACGCAUUAUUUACCUUUCGAGCAAUUCAACUUAAUAACGUUUUAAACUGAUCUUAUUAUUUAUGAUUUGUCUAUGUUUUUAAAAAGCACUUCGAUAUCUGUUUAAGAUUUUGUUGGUUUGUUUGUAAUUUAAUGUAAAUUCAAUAUAGAGUGCUUAAACACUUAAUUGCUAUUAUAUCAAUUAAUACAAGCUAUAACACGGCCAUCAUGAGUUGGUGGACUAUUGUGAAAUUUCUGUGACUCAGAUGGCCCCGCAUAUGUUUCAUAUGAUUAAUAAUAUCACAGACAUAUUUUUUUAUUGACUUAUUUUAUUUUUUUUAAGUAUGUCAGGUCGUCGUCUCAAUAAUAAGUAAUUAUUGCUUUCUACCACUAUUCAUCUCAAGGAACUUAUUACUAUAAAUAUAACAGUACAAAACAAAUUCUGUAGUGAUUCUGUAACUAUUGAUUAAAUAGAACAAAACCUUGUAAGAGUGUGGCACCCAUUAUACAAUCCUAAACAAUGGACAAAUAGUAGGCUUAUAUUUGCCACAAAUGGAAGCAACUUGUUAAUUUUAAAUAGAAAUAAUCAUCAAAACAAACUUAAGAAAUACGAUAAUCGUGCUUGAAAUGUUAAUGAUCGCAAGGUUUAAUGCAUUUUUUUUUUGUGUGUGUAAGCUUGUUAAAGAUUGCAGACUUUUGGUCUUUAUGAGACUCAUCACUGACGCUCAAUUCAAAACAUUUUGAAAGCCAAAUAAAAUACGAAGUUGAAGAGCAUUAAGACGAAACAAAAAUAGAAUAAUUAAUGUAAACAAAUUUAUUUUCCCGACCAAUUUAUUUUCGCGACUUACGUAAGUAGAAAAUUAACGCAAAUAUAAAUCGUCGCGAAAAUGUAAAACUUGGAUCUUUCCUUAUUAAACUACAUAAUAUAAAUUUAAAAAUCGCGAAAUUAAAUAGACGGGAAAUGGACUAGAAAUGAUUAAACGCGAAAUAAAGUAUCCGCGAAAAUAAGUUGGUUUACAGUAUAUGAAUUAAUUUUCAUAUUACAGGUUGAAUGUAGACAUGAUUCACAGUGUGGUUCAGAUGAAUGUUGUUACUACCACGAGGGGCCAUUGUUGCUUAGUAAGAAAAGACAGGUUGAUUUUAUAAAUGUCACACCAAUGGUUAUCUUUCAAGGUUAGUUUCAACCGUUACCAAUCUAUAUAUGGCACAGGUCAUAACCGUAACAACUAAAUCUAUGACGUUUGUUUAUUUAAAACAUAUUUUAAAACCAGGUUUAAUCCACCAUUUUCUACAUUUGAAAAUGCCUGUACCAAGUCAGUAAUAUGACAGUUGUUGUCCAUUCGUUUUUUAUAUGUUUUGUCAUUUGAUUUUGCCAUGUGAUUAGGGACUUUCCUAUUUGAUUUUCCUCUGAGUUCAGUAUUUUUAUGAUUUUACUUUUUUUCAUUGAAGAACACGAUUAAAACAAACCCGUGUACUGAUUUAUGAAGGAAAAUAUGUCGUUUCACAUCCAUAGACCUUAUCUGAUAUAUAAAGAGACUGUGCAUGACCAAUCGUUUUGACAUUCUAUAGUAUUCGUUCUCAAACAACAUUAUAAGUAGAACACAUUAAUGGCAUUCCAAGUGCUAUUUGAUUUGACAGUCUCUUGAUAUUUUUUACAAUUGUAAUAUUCGUUUGUACAGAUGUGUAUGAACCAUUUUAUUCUGUUGGUAAUAUGGUCGAAACCACUCGAAUACUGUAAUUUCAAUGUCAUUUGUAGGUGUGUUUCGAUACUUCAUUUAUAAAGUGCAGAAUAAAUAAUGUUUGCAAUAGUUAUCAAAGGUACCAGGAUUAUGUUACAGUUUAUAUGUUUACAAUCCUACAAAAUAACGCAAAACCCUCAAAAGAAAUACGAGAACCGAGGGAAACUCAGUUAUUUAGACGGAUUUCAAGAAUGUAUACGCAUUUUUGAUAGAUCCACUGGGAGCUCUAGAUAUUAUUCUUUUGAGAAUAAGCAAACAACUUUAUGUUUUAUAGAAAAAUGAGUUAUCAUAAUAUUUGCAAAUAUUAUAAAAAGUUAAAAUCACAAAAAUACUGAAAAGUCAACAAGAAAAGUCCCUGAUUAAAUGGCAAAAUUAAAAGCUCAAACACACAAACGAAUGGAUAAUGACUGUCAUAUUCCUGACAUGGAACAGACAAGAAAAGACCUUUCAAAGUAUAUGCAAAAUCAGUAGACGACAUAAUACAUUUAUGCGUUUAAAUUUCUUCGGUUUAUAUAUUAAACAAAUAUAUUCAUUUUACGUAAGGUUUUUUAAAUAAGGCUACCAUGAAUGAGUUAUUAUUUAAUUUUUUUCUCUAUGUUCAAGGUGGAUGGUGUGAAAAAUACUUGAAACAAGGUGAACACUGCAAUCACCAUAACAAGAUGAAUGGUCACUGUGAAUGCGGAGCCGGUUUGAGUUGCGCUUUCAUAGCAGAUCCGACAUUGCCUCCAAUGACCCCGUCUGGAAUAAUGACAGCAGAACACAAGCGCAUGUUGUUUUUUGGUGGACAUUCUGAAUGCCAACCAGUACCUUCAUCAUAAAAAUAAAAAAAA